rnacentral:other from 1 species
AGCUUUUACGAGGUACCAGCACUUUCCUCUCGUUGGGGCGAAGGAGUGAGGAAAGGCCCGAACAGCAGCAGACUUUGAAACUGUAAACACAGGCGCGUCCAAGUGCCCGAGCCCGCCUUUGCAUUUUGCUUCACCUUCUACGGAGCUCAGUCAGUGGCCGCCUACUUCACUUCUUUUAAGAGGAAGAAGGACGCCCAGGCCAC